GGGGGUUUAGCUCAGUGGUAGAGCACAUGCUUAGUAUGUGUGAGGCCCAGGAUUUGAUCCCCAA
rnacentral:tRNA from 1 species